rfam:Schistosoma mansoni, Puerto Rico, WGS project CABG01000000 data, contig: 0141
AUCUAGCUGGUGCGUCUCAAAUAGGACGAAACGCACGUCCUAGAU